GCUGGCGGCAGGCCUAACACAUGCAAGUCGAGCGGUAACAGAAAGUAGCUUGCUACUUUGCUGACGAGCGGCGGACGGGUGAGUAAUGCUUGGGAACAUGCCUUGAGGUGGGGGACAACAGUUGGAAACGACUGCUAAUACCGCAUAAUGUCUACGGACCAAAGGGGGCUUCGGCUCUCGCCUUUAGAUUGGCCCAAGUGGGAUUAGCUAGUUGGUGAGGUAAUGGCUCACCAAGGCGACGAUCCCUAGCUGGUUUGAGAGGAUGAUCAGCCACACUGGGACUGAGACACGGCCCAGACUCCUACGGGAGGCAGCAGUGGGGAAUAUUGCACAAUGGGCGCAAGCCUGAUGCAGCCAUGCCGCGUGUGUGAAGAAGGCCUUCGGGUUGUAAAGCACUUUCAGUCAGGAGGAAAGGUUAGUAGUUAAUACCUGCUAGCUGUGACGUUACUGACAGAAGAAGCACCGGCUAACUCCGUGCCAGCAGCCGCGGUAAUACGGAGGGUGCGAGCGUUAAUCGGAAUUACUGGGCGUAAAGCGUACGCAGGCGGUUUGUUAAGCGAGAUGUGAAAGCCCCGGGCUCAACCUGGGAACUGCAUUUCGAACUGGCAAACUAGAGUGUGAUAGAGGGUGGUAGAAUUUCAGGUGUAGCGGUGAAAUGCGUAGAGAUCUGAAGGAAUACCGAUGGCGAAGGCAGCCACCUGGGUCAACACUGACGCUCAUGUACGAAAGCGUGGGGAGCAAACAG
rnacentral:rRNA from 1 species